rnacentral:rRNA from 1 species
UACGGGGGGGUGCGAGCGUUGUCCGGAAUCACUGGGCGUAAAGGGUGCGUAGGUGGUGAGGUAAGUCGGAUGUGAAAUCUCCAAGCUCAACUUGGAAAUGGCAUUGGAAACUACCUUGCUGGAGGUUUGGAGGGGGGGACUGGAAUUCUCGGUGUAGCAGUGAAGUGCGUAGAUAUCGAGAGGAACACCAGUGGCGAAGGCGAGUCCCUGGACAAAACCUGACACUGAGGCACGAAAGCUAGGGGAGCAAACAGG